GGGGGUGUGCCCGAGUGGUCAAAGGGAACGGGCUGUAAACCCGUCGGCUUUCGCCUACAGUGGUUCAAAUCCACUCGCCCCCACCA
rnacentral:tRNA from 1 species